AACGAACGCUGGCGGCAGGCUUAACACAUGCAAGUCGAACGCAUCCUUCGGGGUGAGUGGCAGACGGGUGAGUAACGCGUGGGAACGUGCCCUUCAGUUCGGGAUGACCCAGGGAAACUUGGGCUAAUACCGGAUACGUGCGAGAGCAGAAAGAUUUAUCGCUGAAGGAUCGGCCCGCGUCUGAUUAGCUAGUUGGUGGGGUAAUGGCCCACCAAGGCGACGAUCAGUAGCUGGUCUGAGAGGAUGAUCAGCCACAUUGGGACUGGGACACGGCCCACACUCCUACGGGAGGCAGCAGUGGGGAAUAUUGGACAAUGGGCGCAAGCCUGAUCCAGCCAUGCCGCGUGAGUGAUGAAGGCCUUAGGGUUGUAAAGCUCUUUCGUCCGGGACGAUAAUGACGGUACCGGAAGAAGAAGCCCCGGCUAACUUCGUGCCAGCCGCCGCCGAAA
rnacentral:rRNA from 1 species